rnacentral:rRNA from 1 species
GACGAACGCUGGCGGCGUGCUUAACACAUGCAAGUCGAACGGAAAGGCCUGCUUUCCCUUGUGGAUUGCGGGUACUCGAGUGGCGAACGGGUGAGUAACACGUGAGUGAUCUGCCCCCAACUUGGGUAUAAGCCUGGGAAACUGGGUCUAAUUCCCGAUAGGACUGCAGGGUGGUGCCUGUGGUGGAAAACGAUUUUCUAGUGGUUGGGGAUGAGCUCGCGGCCUAUCAGCUUGUUGGUGGGGUAAUGGCCUACCAAGGCGGCGACGGGUAGCCGGCCUGAGAGGGUGGACGGGCACAUUGGGACUGAGAUACGGCCCAGACUCCUACGGGAGGCAGCAGUGGGGAAUAUUGCACAAUGGGCGGAAGCCUGAUGCAGCGACGCCGCGGGGGGGAUGACGGCCUUCGGGUUGUAAACUCCUUUCGACCGCGAGGAAGCCACCUGGUUGGAAGGGUGGUGACGGUAGUGGUAGAAGAAGCACCGGCUAACUACGUG